rnacentral:rRNA from 1 species
GACGAACGCUGGCGGCGUGCUUAACACAUGCAAGUCGAACGGUAAGGCCCUUCGGGGUACACGAGUGGCGAACGGGUGAGUAACACGUGGGUGAUCUGCCCUGCACUUCGGGAUAAGCCUGGGAAACUGGGUCUAAUACCGGAUAGGACUCCUGCCUGCAUGGGUGGGGGUGGAAAGCUUUUGUGGUGUGGGAUGGGCCCGCGGCCUAUCAGGGUGUUGGUGGGGGGAUGGCCUACCAAGGCGCCGACGGGUAGCCGGCCUGAGAGGGGGAACGGCCACACGGGGACUGAGGUACGGCGCAGACUCCUACGGGGGGCAGCAGUGGGGAAUAUUGAACAAUGGGCGCAAGCCUGAUGCAGCGACGCCGCGUGAGGGAUGACGGCCUUCGGGUUGUAAACCUCUUUCAGCACAGACGAAGCGCAAGUGACGGUAUGUGCAGAAGAAGGACCGGCCAACUACGUGCCAGCCGCCGCGGUAA